AGAAUAAAGAUAAAAUGAAAAUGCUAUUUCUGGUGAUAUUGACCGCUAUUGUCUUGAUCCACGUUGGCACCUCCGGUACUGUUGAGUAUGCAAAACACUGGAGAACUGACAGCAGAUGUGGCAGCAGACAUGGACACAAGGUGGAGGUAGAAGGAGAGCUAGUAUCAGGACACUGCAAGCCUCGCUCUACUCACGGUUACUCCUGCUGCUCAAGGUGGGGCUGGUGUGGGACUAGUCAUAGUCACUGUUCCUGUCAGCACUGUGUCAAGUAUAUCGAACAACCCGCCAUAUUACAGGCAGACGAAAAGAAAAGAAGUCAGAUGAGUCUGACAGAUAUCGCAAUAGAGCCCUACUUGAAAGAAGUUGACUGUUCUCAACUUUCCGGGACUGACCAAUUCCAUCAGCAAUUUAUUUCAGGCAUUGGAUUUUUUGUCACUGAAACCGAAACUGGGAAAUGGGAAUCCGGAAUGAACAUGAUUUCUUG